UUUUGUGGCUAGGGGUGAAAUUCCAAUCGAACCUGGAGAUAGCUGGUUCUCCCCGAUAUAGUUUUAGGACUAGCGUUAGAAUUAGUGCAAUGGAGGUAAAGCUCUGAAUGUAUGAUGGCCCCACCUCGGGGUACUGAAUGCAAUUAAACUGCGAAUGCCAUUGUUACAUAUCUGGCAGUCAGUCUAUGGGUGAUAAGGUCCAUGGACGUGAGGGAAACAGCCCAGAUCAUCAGCUAAGGUCCCCAAAUCAAUGCUAAGUGGAAAACGAUGUGGAAUUGUUCAGACAGCUAGGAGGUUGGCUUAGAAGCAGCCAUCCUUUAAAGAGUGCGUAACAGCUCACUAGUCGAAUGAUUCUGCGCGGAAAAUGUACCGGGGCUAAGCAUUGUACCGAAGCUAUGAGUCUAUAUAUAUGUUUACAUAUAUUGUGGGCGGUAGGGGAGCGUUCUAAUCUGCGACGAAGUUAGACCGGAAGGACUAGUGGAGCGUUUAGAAGUGAGAAUGCCGGCGUGAGUAACGAUUGAAGGUGAGAAUCCUUCAUGCCGAUUGACCAAGGUUUCCUGGGCUAGGUUCGUCCACCCAGGGUUAGACAAGACCUAAUACGAGGGCUAAAAGCGUAUUCCAUGGACAACAGGUAAA
rnacentral:rRNA from 1 species